AUUCGGUGUUGUUCUUAGUGUGCAGUCAUGAUGAUCUUAGGUUAUCAUUUAUACUUCAGCAGCUUCACUGAGCACUACUUACAACGGAGCCAUUGAGCAAUUUUAAUUGACUUAGAGAUUACAACGAACCUCUCUAAUUAAGAUGUAUCACUGUGUACCACACGUAGAGAGAACUGCAGUUCAGCACAAGGCAGCCCAUCCUGUCAGGGGCUUCAAAUUAGUUCUGUUUUUAAAUAGAGAUGACGUAAAACAUUCCUGUAGAAAACUAAGAAUUUGCUGAGAGGAUAGAGUAAAAAGUUCCAUCUUACAUCUAAAGAGAGAAAUUAAAGCCCUCAUUAAUUAUUGUGAGAUUACUGGGAUGGGGCUCCUUCUCUCCUUCCCUCCUUUUGUGUGUAUUUUGGCCAUUGUAGUAGUUAGAUUCCUUUCAGUUGCAACUAACGAGAAACUUAAUUCAACUGAUAGGUAACUGUGGUUGAGAGGCAGCAUGGGCUCCAGCCAUGAGAAGACCAGGAGCUUGUCCUGUUUCUCCGCUCUUGUCUUGGUUCUUUUCUCUGCAUUGUUUUUAUUCUCAGGCUGGCUUCUCCCCUUGUGUUAAUAUGAUUGCCAGCAAUAAUCCAAGGAGGCAUGCUUCCUCGGUCAUGUCCAGAAGAAAAUAGCUCUUCUUCAAUAUGUAAGACACCUUAAUUAUUACCAAAUAUCUAUUCUUCCUUGUGACAGCUGAUUUUAUGUGUCAACUUGACUAGGCUAAGGGAUGCCCAGAUGUCUGGUAAAAUGUGUGUCUUCUGGAAACACCCAUUGGAAGAGAUUAGCAUUUGAAUCAGCAGACUGAGUAAAGCAAAGAAUCCUCACCCAAUCAGGUGGACCUCAUUCAAUCUGCUGAGGGCCUGAUUACAGCAAAAAGGAGGGGGAGGGGAAAUUUGCUCUCUGCCUGAGCUGAGUGCCCCAGACAUCAGUGCUCCUGGUUGUGGGGCCUUACAACUUGGACCAGGACUUACAAGGUUGUGCCUCCCUGCACCCUGCCACCUUCUUGGGCUUUUGGACUGCUGAUGGGACUUAUGUCAUUGACUCCUCUGGUUCUGAAGCUUUCAGACUUGUACUGAACUAAAGCAUUGGCUUUCCUUGUUCUCCGGCUUGUGGAUGGCAGUUCAUGGGACACUGUGACUUCCAUAAUCACGCCACAGGGUACCCCUGUCAUCUUUUUCCACAAGGAGGACUUAGAAUAGCCAGUGACAUAAAUGAUGAGCACCUGGACUUGGAAGAACCUGGUGUCCUAUUCAGCAGUUUGUGUUUUCAGCUGGGCCAGUUGGAAAUGCUAGCUUGACAACAAUUGAGAAGCUGUGACAAUAUAGACUUCGCUCCCAACCUCUUAAGAGGCCACUCCAUGCUGAGAGCUGUGGGCCCUGAUGGCGUUUCAGCAGGGAAUGAGGACCGAGCUGGACAUCUGCAUCGGACCUCCCUUGGGGCACUGAAUACUGAGGAAAAAGCCCCAGAUUUUCACCAUACCAUAGUUUGCCCCCUCUCUCUACCUCCUGCUCUUAGAAAAGGGAACAUUUGGGAAGUUCAGCAGCUUUGCUCACUGGCUGGGUCUCUAGCAGAGGCCUGUGCUGGCCAGAGCUGGGCACAAGUAGCUGGGCAGGACUAGCCAGGAGGGUGUGUGGUGCGGCUGUGAGAGCCCAGGUGCCUGCCUGGGGCUCCAGGCACAGGACACAGGCACGCACCAUCAGCAAGCCCACUGCUUCCCGCUGUCAGUUCCCCAACACACUGCCCUCUGGAGCCCUGCCAGGGUCCACGGCAGUGGGCCAGACUUGCUGUAAUAACCAGCACACACCAGAUUUGUGAGGAAAUACCUUCAAUGUGCAACGGUCGAAAACCACCUCAAUGUCCUUAAGAGAACCAGGCAGCCUGUGUGUGGGCUGCACUCAAGUGAACAUAGAUCUGUCAGCAGAUUCUCUCCCGAGCUGUCACCACUGAAAUUUAUGCUGCACACUGGGUCCUCCCUUGCUUGUGAUGCUGACGACAGAUGCAGGCGCUUGCAGAUGAGUGGGUUUGAAGACUGGAAUUAAAACACAAGUGGUUUAUCAGAUUGCGGCCGUGAAGGUGGCAGGAAGCCUAGAACCCGGCUCUCAUUUUCAUUUCCUUUUCCUUUCUGUUUCUUCUUCUUCCUCUUCUCUCCAGUUUUUCAAAAUGUUAUUGGGAUGGUUCACCUUGAUCGAGCUGGUGUCUGAAACACUUCUUGCUGGAAGCAUGUAGAUUCACAGUGUGGAAGGAAGUGUGAAUAUUAGCUCUGCCAGUGCUGGCCAUUAGAACUUUCUGCUGUGAUGCACAUGUUCUCUAUCUUCUCUGUUGAGUUCAGUAGCCACCGGCCCCACGUGGCUAUUGAGCACUUGAAACAUGGCUAAUCUGAUGAAUGGACUGAAUUUUAAAUUUUAUUCCAUUUUAAUUCAAUGGCUGUUUGUGACUAUCUAAAAUUGAAUUUAAAUAGCCAUUUGUGACUAUCGACUACAAACCCAUCCAUUCUAAGAUGGGAAAGUGAGACCCAGGGAGUGGAACUUGCACAAGAACAUGAAGUGAACAGCUGACUCAAGCCAUCUAGAGCAGUCAGUACUUUUUGAUUAACAAAAUUGUAAUUGUUUGAUAUCUGAGCAUAAUGUUUUUAAAUGUUUCAGACCUUACAAAAUAAAAGAAAUAGGCUACUUCUGAACAUUACAUUUUGUUCCAGGUUAAAACUAGCAUAAUUCUGAGGGGUACUGGACAUAAGUGUGAGCAAAGUCUGGGAGAUAGUGAAGGACAGGGAACCCUGGCGUGCUGCAGUCCAUGAGGUCGCAAUGAGUUGCACACGACUUAGUACGUAACACCACCACCAUCAAAGGGGAAGCGGGCUGGAAAAAGUCUGGCCUGUUAUUCCACGAAAGACCCUAGAGUGGCGCUGUUGUAUCGCUUCUGAGGCCCACAGACUUCAAAAUCAAAAAACUCAAACGAACGAAAAAUUCACCUUGUUCUUCCUAUUCCUGC
ensembl:lncRNA